rnacentral:lncRNA from 1 species
AUGGCCCUUGACACUACUUGCCUACUUCUUUGUAUGUGUCUUUUUUUUAAUAAGCCUGGAAGAUGCCGUAAGAAACAGAAGCUAGAGUGUGACUACUCAACCCUGUCUGCGUGCAUGACAGCCCUUUUAGCCAGACGCCAGACAGNUACAAUCUGUAAUAAACUAGCAAUUCACCACUCUAAAAUACCCCCAGGAUUAACAUUAUGUUUAGGGCUUUCUCCCAUCUAUUUUGACAUCAAGACUCUUAAGUCUUGUGCCAGUGCCUAGAUGUUUCACUGGGCCAGCACUCUCAGGAGGUGUAUAUGUAGCGCUAGAUUUUGGGGCCUCGAUGAACAAGCUUCUCGUUGGCUGGCUGGUUUAGUAGUUGCAAAUGUGAGUCCGAGGCUUGACUAUGAGUGGUACACCUGGCCACAGUAAAAAACACCAUAGUUGCUGGUUCUGAUGUGCACUUGUGCGGGGACAGAAGUUGCUGUUGUCUUCCAUUUUGGCUUUUAACGUGUCAGUUUCUUCUCUCUGCUCCAUCAAGGCAUUGGGUGGCGGGUCCUCUUGCAGGUGAAGAAGCGGCUGUGUUACCUCAUUGAGACGGUGAGGACAGGGCCUGGCACCUAACUCAACUUGGACUUCAGUGUCCUCAGCCUGGCAUAGGGCCAUUGUUUCCACUGGAGCCCCUGGAGUUUUUAAGCCUUUUUCACAUUCUUUCACUGUUACCUGUUUAAAUGUAUUAAAAGCAACUUUGGAAAGUUGUGCCUUUUGUAAUAGAAUAAGGGCAGUUUCCUGCUAAAAUGGUUGAUUCUUUAAACCCAGCCUGCAAGCCAAUGUAUCAUUGCCCUUACCUAGCCCAGCCUUGCAAAAUUCUACUUGCCCCCAGGCUCAGGUAAGUUGGGGGCGGGUUUGUUUGUUUUUUAAGGCAGAUAAAACCAACCAUCGUGGGCAAAGGGUGAGCAAGUCUCUUUGUGUUCCGGGGGUGGGACGCUUUUAUGUAAGGCUGGUGUAAAUGAGGUUUUCCAGAAGGAUAGUAAUACGAGGUGUAUGUGCCAAGGUCAAUGGUGCCUGGGUAAAGCUAGUGCUAGAACCUGUUAGAGAGUCAUGCCCAAUGGAAGCGUGAGUCUGCCAGGAAGGAGAGAGCUUUUGGAACAGGAGGCAGCAUGUUGAUGGGUGAAGAGGUUUUAAAAGGGGAUCUGAUAUUACAGUAAUUGAGGAUUUCUGGCCAUGAGCAUUUUGGUCCUAUUUGCCUUUGUUUCUAAUAGGAAGUCUGGGGUUUGCACUU